UGGGGAGCAAACAGGAUUAGAUACCCUGGUAGUCCACGCCGUAAACGAUGUCGACUUGGAGGUUGUGCCCUUGAGGCGUGGCUUCCGGAGCUAACGCGUUAAGUCGACCGCCUGGGGAGUACGGCCGCAAGGUUAAAACUCAAAUGAAUUGACGGGGGCCCGCACAAGCGGUGGAGCAUGUGGUUUAAUUUGAUGCAACGCGAAGAACCUUACCUACUCUUGACAUCCAGAGAACUUUCCAGAGAUGGAUUGGUGCCUUCGGGAACUUUGAGACAGGUGCUGCAUGGCUGUCGUCAGCUCGUGUUGUGAAAUGUUGGGUUAAGUCCCGCAACGAGCGCAACCCUUAUCCUUUGUUGCCAGCGGUUAGGCCGGGAACUCAAAGGAGACUGCCAGUGAUAAACUGGAGGAAGGUGGGGAUGACGUCAAGUCAUCAUGGCCCUUACGAGUAGGGCUACACACGUGCUACAAUGGCGCAUACAAAGAGAAGCGACCUCGCGAGAGCAAGCGGACCUCAUAAAGUGCGUCGUAGUCCGGAUUGGAGUCUGCAACUCGACUCCAUGAAGUCGGAAUCGCUAGUAAUCGUAGAUCAGAAUGCUACGGUGAAUACGUUCCCGGGCCUUGUACACACCGCCCGUCACACCAUGGGAGUGG
rnacentral:rRNA from 1 species